CAGAAUGGCAGCGAAGAAUGCAAAGGAAAGGAAAACUGUCAUUGUACUGCCAGCGCUCGCCUUCCGUGCCUCCUACAAAGCUUGCUGCUCCUCUCGUCUGACCUUUAAACUAGUUUUUAUUUCAGGAAAACAUUAAAAACUAUUUUUAGAGAUGGCGUUCUUCCUUUGUAUUUAUUUACUUAGGCUUCAAAUUGUCAAGGAAAUUACCAUAAUUUGUCACUCAAAGCAACACAGCGUGUGCAUGCCACACAAAGGAUGAUGCUGGAAGACUGGAAGAGCAGAUUGUCUAAGAAUGCUUUCCAGCAAUGCUUACAUUGAAAAAUCAUCCAUAGAGACAAGAGUGUCCACAACCAACACCUAUAAGUGCUUUGUAAAAAAACUAAAUGCAGUUGAAAAUUGGCAAGGGGUCAAUGGAGUGCUGAGGUCCCCGUGUUUUCAGUUAGACGUCUGUUUGUGCGUGCCUGUACUUGCUGUCCACGUGAACUUUUCAAACUGAAUGAAUAAAGGAAAAUGCAGUUUCUACAGGGAAGAACAGAUAACGAGGAAGACAGAAACAUCAGCAAGUCUACAAGGGUUGGAGGUGACCAAGAGAAAAAGAAUGAUUCAAGUGUUUUGCCAGAAAAACAAAAAUUCACAUGUUGAAAGUACUAGUAUCAAUCUAGAGAAAAUGUCCACAGAUCAGGAAUACAUAGUUAAUAAACAGAGAGAUGUCUGUAAACUUUUUUGUUCUGAAAUCCCAGUUAAGGACAGUGGAGGCUAUGGGGAGUCCCCAGUCACUAAAGUUAACAUGCUCUGGGGCCAUGGAUCUGAACAACCGUGACAAUUGGUUGUCACCAGCUCUUCAGAAAUAUUGUGCAAUUCAGGGAACAAUAAGAGCAAACAAUUAAUUUUUUUAAACCUCACCUCCAAACUUUUUACAAUUCUAAAGAGAUAAAUACUUACAUUAAAUUAAAGAGUAAAUUAGGCGAGUUUUGAAACCUGGAAUAAGGGCAGGUGGGCUGUAAGUCAUAUCUACACAUAGCCCUGUAAAUACUGGAAUUUCCACUGAGACCCGGGACCCCAUUAAAAAUGGUACUUAGUGACACUAAAUAUGCACCCCAAAAUCUGGCCUUGUUGAUUUCUUUGGGAAUUUUUUUUUUCUGAUUUCAAUAAAGUACAUUAAGUUGCUAUGUUUCCUUUACAUUUUAAUAACCUCUUCCUAUCUCUCACAAUCUCAUGUCUCUAAUUGUUCUUUUGAUUUAUUUGUUUCUUUCCCUUUCUAGCUAGAAGGAACUAAAAUGAUCCUGUUAACCAUCGAUUCCCCAGAACUUA